rnacentral:sRNA from 1 species
GAGACUCCUGAGGGAGCAGUGCCAGUCGAAGACCGAGGCUGAGACGGCACCCUAGGAAAGCGAAGCCAUUCAAUACGAAGUAUUGUAUAAAUAGAGAACAGCAG